rnacentral:rRNA from 1 species
AUUGAACGCUGGCGGCAGGCUUAACACAUGCAAGUCGAGCGGGGUGAUGGUGCUUGCACUAUCACUUAGCGGCGGACGGGUGAGUAAUGCUUAGGAAUCUGCCUAUUAGUGGGGGACAACAUCUCGAAAGGGAUGCUAAUACCGCAUACGUCCUACGGGAGAAAGCAGGGGAUCACUUGUGACCUUGCGCUAAUAGAUGAGCCUAAGUCGGAUUAGCUAGUUGGUGGGGUAAAGGCCUACCAAGGCGACGAUCUGUAGCGGGUCUGAGAGGAUGAUCCGCCACACUGGGACUGAGACACGGCCCAGACUCCUACGGGAGGCAGCAGUGGGGAAUAUUGGACAAUGGGGGGAACCCUGAUCCAGCCAUGCCGCGUGUGUGAAGAAGGCCUUAUGGUUGUAAAGCACUUUAAGCGAGGAGGAGGCUCUUUUGGUUAAUACCCAGGAUGAGUGGACGUUACUCGUAGAAUAAGCACCGGCUAACUCUGUGCCAGCCGCCGCGGUAA